rnacentral:rRNA from 1 species
UACAGGGGGGGGCAAGCGUUGUUCGGAAUUACUGGGCGUAAAGGGUCUGUAGGUGGCCAACUAAGUCAGACGUGAAAUCCCUCAGCUUAACUGGGGAACUGCGUCUGAUACUGGAUGGCUUGAGUGUGGGAGAGGAAUGCGGAAUUCCAGGUGUAGCGGUGAAAUGCGUAGAUAUCAGGAGGAACACCAGUGGCGAAGGCGGCUUUCUGGACGAUAACUGACGCUGAGACGCGAAAGCGUGGGGAGCAAACAGG